CUGUGGGCGGGGCCUGUCGAAGGCCUGGGCUAGGCAGCCCGCUCCGCCAAGCCGAUUUUCCAGGCCCUCACAGCCCUGUCACCUACACUUCUCGGGCGUGUUUUUCUCAGUGACGUGUGGGUGGUGUGCGUGGAGUGGCCCGGAGAGAGUAGCAACACACUCAGACGCUUCCUAAACAGGUCUUGAGGGCCCCUGAGAGGCCAAGAAUGUGUGGAAGACCAGAGGGAAGACAUGGGACCCCCCAGAGUGCUGGACUCCCUCCCCGCUCGAGGCCGGAGUUCAAUAAGCACCUGGUGGAGAGAAGGAACAGCAGGAGUGGGCAGCCACACCCAGUGUUGGGAGGAUUCCAAGCCUCAGGCAAUGUAAAAGGCACUCCCUUCUCUAACCAGAAUUGGCCCGGAAAUGAAUAAAUACCCAUAAAAAAAUCAUGGCACAGUUCCUGUGUUUCACAGUCAACAUGCCUAAAGAUAGUCAUGCACAGCAAAACUGAAAUGAAACAUUUUCUGCUGGCACU